AGAGUUUGAUCCUGGCUCAGAAUGAACGCUGGCGGCGUGGAUUAGGCAUGCAAGUCGGACGGGCAUAGCAAUAUGUCAGUGGCGACCUGGUUAGUACAAGUUGGGUAACCUGCCGGAAAGUGGGGAACAACCUCUCGAAAGAGGGGCUAAUACCGCAUGUGGUCACGGGGUCUUAGGAACCUGUGACGAAAGCAGCGAUGCGCUUUCCGAUGGGCCCGACCACCAUUAGCUUGUUGGUAGGGUAAUGGCCUACCAAGGCGACGAUGGUUAGCUGGCCUGAGAGGGUGGUCAGCAACACGAGGACUGAGAUACGGCCUCGACUCCUACGGGGGGCAGCAGUCUAGAGGCUUCGGCAAUGGACGAAAGUCUGACCGAGCGACGCCGCGUGGAGGAUGAAGGUCUUCGGAUUGUAAACUCCUUUCGGCUGGAAGGAAAGGGUAGGUGGCGAACUUACCUGUGACCGACCGGCGGAAGAAGCCCCGGCUAACUUCGUGCCAGCAGCCGCGGUAAUACGAAGGGGGCAAGCGUUAUUCGGAUUUAUUGGGCGUAAAGGGCGUGUAGGUGGCUUGAAAAGUCUGGUGUGAAAACGCUACCGCUCAACGGAGCGAAUGCGCUGGAUACUUUCAAACUUGAGUUCGAGAGAGGCAGGCAGAAUACCUGGUGUAGCGGUGGAAUGCUUAGAGAUCAGGUAGAAUACCCGAGGCGAAGGCGGCCUGCUGGCUCGUAACUGACACUGAGGCGCGAAAGCGUGGGGAUCAAACGGGAUUAGAUACCCCGGUAGUCCACGCUGUAAACGGUGAAUACUAGGUGUAGGGGGUACCCAUUCCCUCUGUGCCGUCGUUAACACAGUAAGUAUUCCGCCUGGGAAGUACGGCCGCAAGGUUGAAACUCAAAGGAAUCGACGGGGGCCCGCACAAGCGGUGGAGCAUGUGGUUUAAUUCGACGACGCGAAGAACCUUACCUGGGCUCGAAAUGCAGCUUACAGAGGAUGAAAGUCCUUGCCCUUCGGGGGUGCUGCAUAGGUGCUGCAUGGCUGUCGUCAGCUCGUGUCGUGAGAUGUUGGGUUAAGUCCCGCAACGAGCGCAACCCCCGUCCUUAGUUGCCAGCACGUAAUGGUGGGGACUCUAGGGAGACUGCCCCGGAUAACGGGGAGGAAGGUGGGGAUGACGUCAAGUCAUCAUGGCCCUUACGUCCAGGGCUACACACGUGCUACAAUGGCUGAGACAAUGCGCCGCCACUUGGCGACAAGGAGCGAAUCGCAUAAACUCGGUCCCAGUUCAGAUUGGAGGCUGCAACCCGCCUCCAUGAAGAUGGAAUCGCUAGUAAUCGCAGAUCAGCUACGCUGCGGUGAAUAUGUUCCCGGGCCUUGUACACACCGCCCGUCACGUCACGAAAGUUGGUUGUACCAGAAGUCGCUGUAGGAACCGCAAGGACCAAGGCGCCGAAGGUAUGACUAGUAAUUGGGACGAAGUCGUAACAAGGUA
rnacentral:rRNA from 1 species